CCUACGGGAGGCAGCAGUCGAGAAUCAUUCACAAUGGGGGAAACCCUGAUGGUGCGACGCCGCGUGGGGGAAUGAAGGUCUUCGGAUUGUAAACCCCUGUCAUGUGGGAGCAAAUUAAAAAGAUAGUACCACAAGAGGAAGAGACGGCUAACUCUGUGCCAGCAGCCGCGGUAAUACAGAGGUCUCAAGCGUUGUUCGGAAUCACUGGGCGUAAAGCGUGCGUAGGCGGUUUCGUAAGUCGUGUGUGAAAGGCGGGGGCUCAACCCCCGGACUGCACAUGAUACUGCGAGACUAGAGUAAUGGAGGGGGAACCGGAAUUCUCGGUGUAGCAGUGAAAUGCGUAGAUAUCGAGAGGAACACUCGUGGCGAAGGCGGGUUCCUGGACAUUAACUGACGCUGAGGCACGAAGGCCAGGGGAGCGAAAGGGAUUAGAUACCCCA
rnacentral:rRNA from 1 species